GAACAAAAAAACCUCCGAAUGAUCUUAGCUUAGAUUCACAAAUCAACACUUAUAUCAUAUUAUUGAUCCAAUAAAAUUGAACAAUGAACCA
rnacentral:rRNA from 1 species